UGAACGCUGGCGGCGUGCCUAAUACAUGCAAGUCGCGCGAACAGACGAGGAGCUUGCUCCUCUGACGUUAGCGGCGGACGGGUGAGUAACACGUGGAUAACCUACCUAUAAGACUGGGAUAACUUCGGGAAACCGGAGCUAAUACCGGAUAAUAUAUUGAACCGCAUGGUUCAAUAGUGAAAGACGGUUUUGCUGUCACUUAUAGAUGGAUCCGCGCCGCAUUAGCUAGUUGGUAAGGAAACGGCUUACCAAGGCAACGAUGCGUAGCCGACCUGAGAGGGUGAUCGGCCACACUGGAACUGAGACACGGUCCAGACUCCUACGGGAGGCAGCAGUAGGGAAUCUUCCGCAAUGGGCGAAAGCCUGACGGAGCAACGCCGCGUGAGUGAUGAAGGUCUUCGGAUCGUAAAACUCUGUUAUUAGGGAAGAACAAAUGUGUAAGUAACUAUGCACGUCUUGACGGUACCUAAUCAGAAAGCCACGGCUAACUACGUG
rnacentral:rRNA from 1 species